GCAAACUUGGUCAUUUAGAGGAAGUAAAAGUCGUAACAAGGUUUCCGUAGGUGAACCUGCGGAAGGAUCAUUAUCGAGAUCGUGCCCUCACGGGUAGACCUCCCACCCUUGACUACUACACCUUUGUUGCUUUGGCGGGCCGCCUAGGCCACCGGCUACCGCUGGUGAGCGCCCGCCAGAGGACCCAAAACUCUGAAUUAUUGUGUCGUCUGAGUACUAUAUAAUAGUUAAAACUUUCAACAACGGAUCUCUUGGUUCUGGCAUCGAUGAAGAACGCAGC
rnacentral:misc_RNA from 1 species